rnacentral:rRNA from 1 species
UACGUAGGGUGCAAGCGUUAAUCGGAAUUACUGGGCGUAAAGCGUGCGCAGGCGGUUGUGUAAGACAGAUGUGAAAUCCCCGGGCUCAACCUGGGAACUGCAUUUGUGACUGCAUGGCUAGAGUACGGUAGAGGGGGAUGGAAUUCCGCGUGUAGCAGUGAAAUGCGUAGAUAUGCGGAGGAACACCGAUGGCGAAGGCAGCCCCCUGGGCUAGCACUGACGCUCAGGCACGAAAGCGUGGGGAGCAAACAGG